UUCCAUUCAGAGAUUAUGAAGCCUUUUUUCAUGGGUUUCACAGUGCCACACUACAUUUAAUCUCCUCUGAAGCAUGGGAGGGAGAAAACCCAAAGCUUCCCCACUGCUCUUAGAAGAGACUGUGAGACAAAUAAACUGUUGAACAUAUUAAAACAAACUACAGUUUUCAUCAGUUUAACCCCCAAAAAAUGAGUAAAUAAGGCGAGAUAGAGUGUUUUUCGAAGCCGUGGCAGACAAACCAUGCAUCUUUAACAGGUAACAGUUAAGAAUUUUCUGAGUUCAUCUUCACUGUACUUUAAUAUUUUAUAUAAACCCCAGAUAGAUCAAUAAAGAUCCUAUUUUCCUUUGUUGCACAUUAACUUUAACUAUCUUUAGAAGAUACUUUAAAAGAAGUGAUUCUUGAUUUUCCAACAUUAGACUUAAAGUUGAUAGAAACAUUUCUCAAAAUGAAAAAUAAAUGUGGCUCUGUACCUGCUGACACAAGUAAUUUAGCAGCUGUUCGUUAGGACUGACCACAUUAGUCUAGAAUGUCAUAUGCGUCCGUGAUGUUCAGCUUGUUAUUGAGCACCCCUCUGAAAAACAUGCUGCCUUAAUGCCAAGUUCUUUCCCGGUUCCUCAAGCUGCGUGCAUCUUGUGUUCGAAAGAGGUUGUUACACCAAGUCCUUUUAGUGAGAAUCUUCAGCCUGUUCAGGGUUCGAAUUCAUUUUCAAUCAACCUGCUCACGAUAUGUUUCCUCACUUACUACACAGCUGCUUGAGCAGUCUUUUAAAAUUUAUGGAAUAGACUGACAUCAUAUCAAGGCUUUUUUUAUGAUUUACAAAAGCAAACAAAGCCGUCAGUGCCAAGAUUGCUGAUUUUUAUGUUGUAAAUUUUUAUGUCUGUAACUAAUGUGGUGGGUAUCAGCUAGGACUGGGACGAUAUGCUUUUCUCCCGAUUCGAUUCUUCAACGAUUUUUUGGAUGCCAGUUCAAUUCAAAUUGUGAUUCUACAAUAUUGUUGAUUUUCUCGAUUUUUAGCCUGCAUUUUCUAACACCAGUGUAACACUUGAAUGAUUAUGAUUGUCUACUGACUAUUCCAGGAACCAUAUUUCCCACAAAAGUACACAUCACAUGUAAGUCAGUUUUUAAGAUUUAAGGACCUUACACACCGGGGUCGACACAGAUAUAGAAUGCGAAAUUACGAUAUAUUCGGAGGCGAGUUUUGACGCGCCUGACUAUACACAUCAAGCCCGAUGCGAUUUUGCGACUUUCCAGGGGGAAAAGACGUGUCCCAUCUGGAAGCGGUACAGUAUGCACACAGUAUGCGAAACUUUAGAAAAAUCGGCCAUGAUCUGAAAAAAUAAAUGCCACAAUAUCGCAGGAUGGUAAAACGUCACUGAUGUGAACGCUUGUAUUGACAGGAUACAGGUUCGAAAAAAAAUACUGACGUCCGAAAUAAUUGCACGUAAAAAACAGUCCUUUAUUCUUAAUUUGAAAAAAAUAUUUUUUUUUAACAUAAAAAUAGAUUUAAAAAUUGUAAAACAAAAAAUCGCGAUACUUAGGUAAAUCGAUUUUUUUCUCCCACCCCUACUAUCAGCCGAGCAGCCGAAGAAACAGCCCUGAUUUUACAUUUUCCUCUAAAAAUAUUUACAUUAAAUCAUAGCAUGAACUUUUUUUUUUUUUUCAGGGGACAUGAUUAAGGCAUGUAGAGGACAAGAGGUCUACAACCCAAAUUUCCCCACAGGAGCUUUAAAAUCAAUAUUGUGCUUUUAAGAAAUUAUACUUAUUGCUGUACAUUAUCAACCAAUCAUGAUCUUUUUUUUACACAAAUGGGUCAGAAAAUGCUCAGGAAGUUAAAUAUAAUCCUGUUUUAAUGUUGUGUUCACAUAUCUAUUUGUUUUAAACCAGACUACAAAACUGCACAGAGAAGGAAGCGGGGGGCUCAGGGGAGCCCGGCAGUUUUUCCCCGCCCUGAGGCUGCCUUGUGGUUUACCCAACCCAACUCACUGUCUGUGUGUGUGUGUGUGUGUGUGUGUGUGUGUGUGUGUGUGUGUGUGUGUCGUGGGACCCAGUAUAGAUGAUGGAGGCAGGGUUUAGCAUCACAGUGAUAUUCUCAGUGGAGGGAUUUGUAGGUUUUGAUCCCAGCUAAUUAAUGUGGAACCCUCAAUGGAGAGUAAUGGGCAUCUGUGUACGGGAAGUUUGAAGGGGACAUUGUGUCUGUAUGCGUGCAUGUGAACACAUCUGGUAAGUGAGAAGUAUGUGAAGGCAUCUUGAGUGUGUGUUACGUGUUAAUCAGCGACUCUGAAAUCUUCCUCUGUGUACUCUCUGUGGACUCAGUCUGGAGGUAUCACAGGGCGUUUAUGCCAUUGUUCCAUCAAUCCACCCAUUAACUACAAACACAGGGAAACUUUAAUUAAGCUGAGGCCUUAGACGAUUAAUUAACUUUAAGACUUUCACUCCUUUUUUCUUUCCUCAUACACAUUUCACUAAGUCACCGAGCCAUAGGAAGUGUUAAUUUAGCCCCAUAAUUUACAAAUCCAAUUAAAGCCAAUAUUAAGACACCACAAGCUGCUGUCCUGUGUUCUCCAGACUUAUAAGACUAUUUUCUUUUGUGGCGGUGAAUGCAGCACACGUAAGCUUAGCAGAGUGUAUUUAACAGGGGUUAGAAGUUGUAAUAAGUUUGAUUAUUUUAUGGAGUUUAUUAUGCUGUGUUAUCCUGUUAGGGGGCUGAUGUUGCAGCGGUGGGCUGGCAAUCCAAAUCAUAGUGUCUACCUCACAGCUGCCAUGAAAACUCUCAUCAUAUGUCAGUGUUCCUGAGGAUGGCAGGCCCAACCUGUGACUGGAUCUAUUCCAACGCCUGUAAAAUACUGCUCACUCAAGACUCAAAGAGCAAACUGGACUUUCUCACUGCUGAUGUUUCCUCUUCAUUUAGCACUUUUUAUCUGCUUACAAUGAACACGAUUCGGAAAACUUACCUUUAAGUGAAGGUGAUAUGUUCUUUAUCGUUUAAGAAUAUAAAUUAUAAAGAUUUCUCCAUCAUACCUGAAAUUAAGGUAGAAAACACUCCAAUCUGUCAGUGGAGAAUCAAUUUACUGUUUGGAAAUGUAUUAUUUAUUGGAUUUCAAAAUAGGAAUAUAGGAAUAUGGAAACCAUCGUGAGAUACCUGUGCAAGGGGUGUAAUAAAAUAUGACUUGAAAUACCUACAUAUAGGUAAAAAUACACUUAUUAACAGAACUAUAGCAUGUACAAAAGUAGGGACCAUUGUGAGGAUGGGAGAGAAGUUUUUCAGUUUGUGAUCUGUUUAAAUGAUCUGUACCAGUGGCGAUUUUGGUCUGGAAAUUCUGGUGGGGCCAUGCAGGAAUAUCUUAGAAUGCAAUCCAGAAAUACCUGAUAUUACUCUCAUACCCUCACAACAAAAACACAGCAGCAAGUGAGAGAGGGGACCACAGCAUCUUUGACGACAAAACUGCAGCUGAAUUAUAACAUCACACAAACAUUGAGUAACGAAAUAAAUGUCUAACCCCUUUCCAACCUUCACAGACUCCAUGAAUUGAUGCCCAUCUCCUAAAUAUUUGGUCACAUGAUCAAUUUCUUUUACCAUUUCCAAGAAACAGGGGGUGGUUCAACUUACUCUUUGGCUCGACUUACCCCACCCUCCCCUACUCAAGAUCGAAACAACGUGACAAUGAUCAAACACAAUGGCGUGAACGGAGCACACCCAAUACACAGCAAUCAACACACAAAGCCACCACAAACAAUGUAUCACAGCCAAGUGGCCAUUUUGACAACAAAGACAGGUGAACAGACACACGUAUCGCCAGUUAGGCAUUACAUAAAUUCCACUUUUAUUCUAACAAUGUGUAAACUAUUAUAAAUUCCACGUGGAAUAAUGGACUUACCAUUGUGGAUCACUUUUUGAAGAGGAAUGACGCUCUGCGGUCCUUCGUGUGCGCAAACUUCUCUGUAACCCGUAAUAAUCCACAGCAUGAACGAAGAACGUGAAUUAGCUGUUGUGCUACCACGGUAGCCGAGCUAGUAAGAAAGUAGGGAAAUUGCGCCCAUACAAAUGAAAACUGCACACAUCUCAGUGUGGAUUAAGUUAUUUUUUUUUAAUUAACUUGUGCUCAACGACGUUUUUGACACAGAAAAACUUAAUUUAAAAACUUUAUAAUCCUCUUCUGCACAGCAGCGCCCUCUGGUGGGCCCGUUUAAUGCAAAGACGCCAUUGACCCGUACAUACUCACUUUUUUAUCCAAUCUUGAUUAUAUAUGGCUCUAGCAAAAUAAACCUUUUAAAUAAGCCAUUUUAAUCAAGAAUGCAUUCAUACACAAGAGAACUAAAUAAAUAAAUGAAUAAAUAAAUAAUUUCCUCUUGAGAAGGAUUGCGUCAUUGACGUAUAUGACGCAUCAGGAAGCCCCGCCCAUCUAUUUGUGGCCCGGAAAUCGAGCCAAAUUUUACCUGCUUACUUACUGUGUAAGUCCUUCAGGAAAUGUGGUAAUCCUGCUACUCCUGAAAACAUAAUGUGUUCUAAAACAAAUAAUAUUUCUGCAUAUCCUCUUCUUGUGUCUCUUACUGAGUUUCAUUUUUUACUGUUUUUCCCCUUGGAAAUGGUUCAAACUGCCAGAGUAUCUCCUGCUUAUUCAGCCAACAGAGCUGCAGUGAGGCCGCCAUUUCAGGUUUGGUGCUUUUGUGUUUAUAACUUAAUCACUCCAACUCACAAAUAUCCCUGUGUUUCUUUGAAAACAUCUCUCUAGGCUGAAUUAUAUGUGUUUAACUGUUUUAGUAGUUUUGAAAAACACAAAAUUGUGUAUAUUUGCGUCUCAUGUGUACCUGUGUGAGUAACAUGGCUUUCCUGAACACCAGAGUUAUCCUCAAAUCUUUGUUUUUAUCACCACAUUAGUACAAAUUAAUCUCAGGAUUUUGGUCACAAGUCUGAUUUGAUGUGAAAGCAUUUCAUUUAGAUCCAGGCCAGUCAAAUGUCUGUGUGCUGAAAGAGAAAGUAUUGUUGUUUUAGAAUAGAAUAUUCCUUUAUUGAUCCCCCAUGGGGGAAAUUUUUUGCCACAGCAACAUCACAGACAAAGAGUGCAAAAAUACAGUUAUAAAAAUAAAGAUUUUAAUAUUAAGAACUUAAAUAGAUGUCAUAAUUAAGAAAAAAAUUAGAAAAAGGGAGAAGAAAAUAAAACUAUAUACAAUAUACACAAAUUGAAUUCGAGAAAAAAGUGGUGGUGUGAGUCCAGUUUUAUUACAGUUGGUUGUAAAGUCUUGUUGCAGAAGGGAGGAAUGACCUGCGGUAGCACUCUGUCUUGCAAGGUGGGAGUCUCAGUCUGCUGCUGAAGGAGCUGCUUAAAGCCCCCACAGUCUGGUGCAGUGGGUGAGAGGGAUUGUCCAUGAUGGAUACAAGCUUUGCUAACAUCCUCCUCUCACCCACCUCCUCCAGGGAGUCCAAAGAGAAGUCCAGGACAGAACUGGCUCUCCUGACCAGUCUAUUCAGUCUCUUCCUAUGUAGAAAUCUUACCUUUAUUUACAGUAAAUACAAACUUAUACUCUUUCUUUCUUGCAAAGUGGUCAUAAUGCAUUAUUAUUAUUUCCUGAUCAAUUGCACAGCUCCUCUCAGCACUCUUAACAUUAUCACGAUAAAGAAAACCCCAAUCUCACAUCAUAUCAUCUUCACAUCCUGAGUCAUUUUGUGUUAUAAUAUCUUGUAGUGAAACGUACAUAUUCUGUGUUCUUGUCCUGAUCCUGAAUUGAUUUUAUAUUUUUCUUUCAUGUCUUUCAUUUCACUGAGGAAAACGCCAGCUCGUUCCUCUG